GCAGAUGAGAGUGGAGGCUGUAAAUUACCCUCUAUGCAAUGGCUCAUCAUAAAGGAUAUGGAGCGAAAUUAGAGGAGGCACGAGAAGGAAAGCCCGUGAUGAACAAGGCAGGGGCUGCUGCUGCGUGAUUGAAGACAGGCUGGGAACUCGGGAGAAGCCGCUGGAAAUUGACUUGGGUUGGAGGUCUGAUUCCAGCAUCCCAAGCCAGAAGAGCCCCGGGCGAAGCCUUCUGCUCUGCCUUGCGGAGUAGGAUAGGGAAUAUGUGUGCAGAAUACUUCCUGAGACUCAUAGUGCUAUCUACAUGGAAUGUGAAGUCAGAAUGUCUCUAAAUCCUGGCUCCGUUGGGUUUUGGCUGUGUGACUUUGGGAUAUCCGCUGGAAGCUACUGAGGACUCCUCAUUACUCUCCCUUGGAAGACUUUGCCUGCAAUGGAGCCAACACAGUGGAGAGCAGAGCUGAGAAAUGAACAGACAACUCCUGAUGCAUCAUUUGAGCACCUGGAUUUAGCCAUGCCUGAAACUAUUAUAGCCUUGGACUUUUCAACCAUGUCUCGGUUCCAGAGGGAAGAACACUGCCACCAGGAGACACACAACAAUCUCAUUAAACUGGAAGUUAAGAGUGCCACCAGGACACUUUGGGCUCCUCCUUCCUUUAAGUCAACAAGCUAAGAAGGGAGUUACAGUGUUGGCUAGGGUGUUGACCCAGCCUAUCAAGAUGAAAUCAAUUUACUACUCCACAACAAAGAGCAAGCAGUCAAGAAGGAAAGGCCAGAAACAGGUGGAAAGCCUACCAGGACAAGCUAGAGCCCCACAAGGACAGACUGAAGCCCAUGUUCUUGGUGAUGAGGGCAUCCUACAGAAGUCAGGCCUUUGUUCCAGAUCUGAACACAUACACCUGGCCCAGCUCCUGCAUCACAUCAACAAGGUCAUAAAGCAGCAGAGACAACUCACAACAGCAGCAACACAUUUGGCCCAGGAACUGUUAGUGAACGUACAGUGCAGUGGUGGUUCAAGAAGUUAUGUGAAGGAAACGAGAGGCUUGAAGAUGAGCAGCGUCAUGGCUGGCCACUGGGAGUCAACAAUGACCAAUGGAGAGCAAUCAUCGAAACUGAUCCUCUUACAACCACUUGAGAAGUUGUCAAAGAACUCAGCAUCGACCAUUCGAUGGUUGUUCAGCAUCUGAAGCAAAUUGGAAAGUUGAAAAAGCCCAAUAAAAUGAAAAACCUCAUAAAAUGAAAAAGCUCA
rnacentral:lncRNA from 13 species